rnacentral:rRNA from 1 species
CCUACGGGAGGCUGCAGUGAGGAAUAUUGGUCAAUGGUCGGGAGACUGAACCAGCCAAGCCGCGUGAGGGAUGAAGGUACAGAGUAUCGUAAACCUCUUUUGUCAGGGAACAAAGGCGGGGACGUUUCCCCGGAUGAGUGUACCUGAAGAAAAAGCAUCGGCUAACUCCGUGCCAGCAGCCGCGGUAAUACGGAGGAUGCGAGCGUUAUCCGUAUUUAGUGGGUUUAAAGGGUGCGCAGGCGGUCUGUUAAGUCAGCGGUCAAAGCCCGGGGCUCAACCCCGGCCCGCCGUUGAAACUGGCAGUCUCGAGUUGGAGAGAAGUAUGCGGAAUGCGCGGUGUAGCGGUGAAAUGUAUAGAUAUCGCGCAGAACUCCGAUUGCGAAGGCAGCAUGCCGGCUCCACACUGACGCUGAGGCACGAAAGCGUGGGUAUCGAACAGGAUUAGAUACCCCAGUAGUC